rfam:Triticum aestivum genome assembly, contig: Triticum_aestivum_CS42_TGACv1_scaffold_485774_6AS
GGGCAUUUGGUCUAGUGCUAUGAUUCUCGCUUAUUGUGCGAGAGGUCCUGAGUUCAAUUCUCGGAAUGCCCC